UGGGUGGGCGGGAGAACAUGGGUCAGAGGAAGCUGCAGGUGUGAGGAAGGGAAAACAUAAUCACAUCUCAAGUCAAACAAAUGCGUAUCCCCUGAUGGAGAUGGAUGGUCGGGAGGGGGGGAAGAGAAGCAUUCCGAUCCAGGCUGGAGAUUCCCAUCGUUCAGCUUUGUGGUUCUCCUCGUUCUCAGGAGCAGAGCGCCUUGCUGCUGCUGCUGCUGCUGCUGCUGCGGGGCCAAACAUCUGGACGGCGAGAAGGAAAGGAAGUAACAAAGAGGAGCAGAGAAGACGAGAGUGGGUGAAAAAAAGGAGGGAUGAGGUGAGGUCAGGAGGAAGAAAGCAGCCAUGUUUAUCUUGGAGACUCUCGUGGAGGAGGGAGCCGGUAUCGCUGGACGAAGGUUCACGCUCAGCGCUUUGUCUUCAUUAGAGGAGUCCCGUAAAAACCGGGCCAACUCCUGUUUGCUCUGCAAUUCAUGGGAUAAGCUGGAGCUCAUAAAAAAAAAAAAGCUCAGAGGGCACACGGAGGUCCUGCGCUCUGUAAAAAAGACUUGGUAGCGGCAGAGAGCCACAGACCCCACAGUGGCCCCCACCGUGCCGCCCAUGGCCCCCCCAACGAACAGGCCCACCAGGGAUCCGAACAGAGCCUCCACCCUCACCAGACUGGACAGCCACCUGACCCAGUCCAC